rnacentral:lncRNA from 1 species
AGAGUAUCCAGAAUUGUAAGGCAAACUUCUGUGGCAGUAUUUGCUUCCAGUAAAGACUGGUGAAGAACAUCUGCAUCUGAAUGGCCAUAGCUGUGGUUAAAAGUGAGAGAGUUAUCCAGGCUGCUCAGCUGCUGUAAUCUGGCAUGCAUCAUUCCUGUUCUGUUACGGGAAACAGGCAAUGUCUGAGAUUUUCGAUCAUGAACUAUGGAUCCCAAC